rnacentral:rRNA from 1 species
UUCUUGGUCAUUUAGAGGAAGUAAAAGUCGUAACAAGGUUUCCGUAGGUGAACCUGCGGAAGGAUCAUUAAAGAAAUUUAAUAAUUUUGAAAAUGGAUUUUUUUGUUUUGGCAAGAGCAUGAGAGCUUUUACUGGGCAAGAAGACAAGAGAUGGAGAGUCCAGCCGGGCCUGCGCUUAAGUGCGCGGUCUUGCUAGGCUUGUAAGUUUCUUUCUUGCUAUUCCAAACGGUGAGAGAUUUCUGUGCUUUUGUUAUAGGACAAUUAAAACCGUUUCAAUACAACACACUGUGGAGUUUUCAUAUCUUUGCAACUUUUUCUUUGGGCAUUCGAGCAAUCGGGGCCCAGAGGUAACAAACACAAACAAUUUUAUCUAUUCAUUAAAUUUUUGUCAAAAACAAGAAUUUUCGUAACUGGAAAUUUUAAAAUAUUAAAAACUUUCAACAACGGAUCUCUUGGUUCUCGCAUCGAUGAAGAACGCAGCGAAAUGCGAUACGUAAUGUGAAUUGCAGAAUUCCGUGAAUCAUCGAAUCUUUGAACGCACAUUGCGCCCCUUGGUAUUCCAGGGGGCAUGCCUGUUUGAGCGUCAUUUCCUUCUCAAACAUUCUGUUUGGUAGUGAGUGAUACUCUUUGGAGUUAACUUGAAAUUGCUGGCCUUUUCAUUGGAUGUUUUUUUUCCAAAGAGAGGUUUCUCUGCGUGCUUGAGGUAUAAUGCAAGUACGGUCGUUUUAGGUUUUACCAACUGCGGCUAAUCUUUUUUUAUACUGAGCGUAUUGGAACGUUAUCGAUAAGAAGAGAGCGUCUAGGCGAACAAUGUUCUUAAAGUUUGACCUCAAGUCAGGGUAGGAGUACCCGCUGAACUUAAGCAUAUCAAUAAGCCGGAGGAA